GUAAACUCCACAGACCUUCCUUCUAGGGCAGACCCUGCUGCCUCCCAGGCAUCCCUGCUGUCCUGGACUGCUUCCAGCUCAGUAGUGUCUGAUGACAGUCCACAGGAUGUGACCUAGAGACCCAGCCCCAACGCUCAAGGCUUUCUUAAGUGAGCUAGCAGGUGGAGGAGCUGGGCAGGAGGGAGCAGGCUCCAGGAAGAGGAUUUGUAGAGCACCCACCCUUGCAAGCUGGGAAGGGCUUUGAAGUCACCCGCUGUCCUGUCAGUCUGGUGUAGGCGGGCACCCCAGACUGCCUCUGAUUGACCUGGCACAGGCCUGCAGCAUGGCAGUGAGUCAUGCCCUCGCCUUGUCUCGGAGACUUCUUUCCCAUGGUGCCACCACCACAGCCACCCUAUGGACACUUCGGAUUUGCAGUGACCAAAGUCCUUGUUCCUAGGAGGAUGUGCCGGUGGGGUGAGGGCUGGAGGUGAUGAUCCUCUCCAUUCCGGGAGAAGAAAAAGGCACAGGUUGGAGAGAUGGCUCAGUGGGCAAAGAUACAUGCUUCUGGGCCUGAUGAGCUGAGUUCAAUCCUGGGGGACCGAUCUACAUGGUGGAAGGAGAGAACUGACUUCCACAGGGCCUCUUCCUCUGGCCUCCACAUUCGUGCUUUGCAUCCCUCCCAAUAACUAAAAGUGUAAUUAAAAACUUUUAAAAAAUUG